GACUACCGGGGUAUCUAAUCCCGUUUGCUCCCCUGGCUUUCGCACCUCAGCGUCAGUAACGGCCCAGAGAGCUGCCUUCGCCUUUGGUGUUCCUCUUGAUAUCUACGCAUUUCACCGCUCCACCAAGAGUUCCGCUCUCCUCUACCGCACUCCAGCACGUCAGUAUGCAAAGCUGUUCCACGGGUAAGCCGUGGGCUUUCACCCCGCACUUGACGCGCCGCCUACGUGCGCUUUAUGCCCAGUAAUUCCGAACAACGUUAGCACCCUCUGUAUUACCGCGGCUGCUGGCACAGAGUUAGCCGGUGCUUCCUCCAGGGCUUACGUCACUCGUCAGGCUGUUCGCCAGACGCUCUUCAUAACCCUCGACAGGAGUUUACAACCCUAAGGCCUUCGUCCUCCACGCGGCGUCGCUCCGUCAGGCUUGCGCCCAUUGCGGAAGAUUCUCGACUGCAGCCCCCCGUAGG
rnacentral:rRNA from 1 species